GGAAGGCCCCGUCCGUGGUUGGCAACCGGUUUCGAAAACUGGCAUGGGGCGUCACGGCGUCGGGGUUCGAUUCCUCGGCCUUCCGC
rnacentral:tRNA from 1 species